rnacentral:lncRNA from 1 species
UGCAGGUCAUAUGCUCACUUUGUCACACUGAACAUGAGGUUGGUUGGUUUUACUCAUUUUACUCUAUAUAUACUCAUGCAUCUUCAUGAACAAGAAUUUGGAAACCUCCACACUACCUGCAAUGAAGCAUGGCUGCUAGAAGUCUCCAACUGUUGUGUCUCAGUUAAGCUGAAUAUAGUUAUUAAUGUCAAACAUGUAUAUAUAUAGAAGUUCAAAACAUAAUACUAGAAAAUGGGGAAGGGAAGUUCAAAUAUGUCUUGGCCUGCUAACCAUUUCUCUAUCUUGCGAGCUGUCCAAAGUUUUUAAGCACUACAAUUUAAACUUACAACAGGAAGUUUACU